UACGUAGGGUGCAAGCGUUGUCCGGAAUUAUUGGGCGUAAAGAGCGUGUAGGCGGCCUCGUAAGUCCGCUGUGAAAACCCGGAGCUCAACUCCGGGCCUGCAGUCGAUACGGGCAGACUGGAGUUCGGCAGGGGAGACUGGAAUUCCUGGUGUAGCGGUGAAAUGCGCAGAUAUCAGGAGGAACACCGGUGGCGAAGGCGGGUCUCUGGGCCGAUACUGACGCUGAGGAGCGAAAGCGUGGGGAGCGAACAGG
rnacentral:rRNA from 1 species